CCUACGGGCUGCACCAGUGGGGAAUAUUGCACAAUGGGCGCAAGCCUGAUGCAGCCAUGCCGCGUGUAUGAAGAAGGCCUUCGGGUUGUAAAGUACUUUCAGCGGGGAGGAAGGUGUUGUGGCUAAUAACCGCAGCAGUUGACGUUACCCGCAGAAGAAGCACCGGCUAACUCCGUGCAGCAGCCGCGGUAAUACGGAGGGUGCAAGCGUUAAUCGGAAUUACUGGGCGUAAAGCGCACGCAGGCGGUCUGUCAAGUCGGAUGUGAAAUCCCCGGGCUCAACCUGGGAACUGCAUUCGAAACUGGCAGGCUAGAGUCUUGUAGAGGGGGGUAGGAUUCCAGGUGUAGCGGUGAAAUGCGUAGAGAUCUGGAGGAAUACCGGUGGCGAAGGCGGCCCCCUGGACAAAGACUGACGCUCAGGUGCGAAGGCGUGGGGAGCAAACAGGAUUAGAUACCCUUGUAGUC
rnacentral:rRNA from 1 species